rnacentral:rRNA from 1 species
GAUGAACGCUGGCGGCGUGCCUAAUACAUGCAAGUCGAGCGAACAGACGAGGAGCUUGCUCCUCUGACGUUAGCGGCGGACGGGUGAGUAACACGUGGAUAACCUACCUAUAAGACUGGGAUAACUUCGGGAAACCGGAGCUAAUACCGGAUAAUAUAUUGAACCGCAUGGUUCAAUAGUGAAAGACGGCUUUGCUGUCACUUAUAGAUGGAUCCGCGCCGCAUUAGCUAGUUGGUAAGGUAACGGCGUACCAAGGCCACGAUGCGUAGCCGACCCGAGAGCGCGAUCGCUCACACUAGAUCUGAGACACCGUCCAGACUCCUACGGGAGGCAGCAGUAGGGAAUCUUCCGCAAUGCGCGCAAGCCUGACGCAGCAACGCCGCGUGAGUGAUGAACGCCUUCGGUUCGUAAAACUCUGUUAUGAGGGAAGAACGAAUGUGUAAGUAACUAUGCACGUCUUGACGGUACCUAGUCAGAAAGCCACGGCUAACUACGUG